UACGGGGGGGCAAGCGUUGUUCGGAAUUACUGGGCGUAAAGGGCGCGUAGGCGGCCUUCUAAGUCGGACGUGAAAUCCCUCGGCUCAACCGGGGAACUGCGUCCGAUACUGGAGGGCUUGAAUCCGGGAGAGGGAUGUGGAAUUCCAGGUGUAGCGGUGAAAUGCGUAGAUAUCUGGAGGAACACCGGUGGCGAAGGCGGCAUCCUGGACCGGCAUUGACGCUGAGGCGCGAA
rnacentral:rRNA from 1 species